GCAGUCGUGGCCGAGUGGUUAAGGCGAUGGACUAGAAAUCCUGUUGGGGUCUCCCCGCACAGGUUUGAAUCCUGUCGACUGCG
rnacentral:tRNA from 1 species